GUCCGCAUUUUCUCCUCUGUUCAGGGGGGGAAAUUGCCAUGGCAAAUGAGAAAUUCGGAGUAAUCUUCAACUCUUACUGCACAACCCUUUUGCUUACUUCUCAGAGUAUGAGAGGGGCUCUGGCAACUGCCCGUGAGGGUCUACCAUGAAUGUCAUGGUUGCAUCCGGCAUCAGAAAAUCCAGCCUCUUUGAGGAGGCUAUGGGAGCUGGUGCGAAGAUGGUCUGUCCGCUUCCUCUUUUUUUGAGAGGUUGGGACGAUGACUUUAGUGCAAUACGCGGCGUACCCCAUCGUUCUUCUCCUUCUCGGAGGAUUGGGGCGAUGGACGGUAUCAUUCGAUUCCGAUUACUCUGGUGAGGAC
rnacentral:RNase_P_RNA from 2 species